UACGUAGGGUGCAAGCGUUGUCCGGAAUUAUUGGGCGUAAAGAGCUCGUAGGCGGUUUGUCGCGUCUGCUGUGAAAACCUAAGGCUCAACCUUGGGCUUGCAGUGGGUACGGGCAGACUAGAGUGCGGUAGGGGUGACUGGAAUUCCUGGUGUAGCGGUGAAAUGCGUAGAUAUCAAGAGGAACACCUGAGGUGAAGACGGGUUGCUGGGCCGAC
rnacentral:rRNA from 1 species